CAAGUCGAACGAGUUCUCGUUGAUGAUCGGUGCUUGCACCGAGAUUCAACAUGGAACGAGUGGCGGACGGGUGAGUAACACGUGGGUAACCUGCCCUUAAGUGGGGGAUAACAUUUGGAAACAGAUGCUAAUACCGCAUAGAUCCAAGAACCGCAUGGUUCUUGGCUGAAAGAUGGCGUAAGCUAUCGCUUUUGGAUGGACCCGCGGCGUAUUAGCUAGUUGGUGAGGUAAUGGCUCACCAAGGCGAUGAUACGUAGCCGAACUGAGAGGUUGAUCGGCCACAUUGGGACUGAGACACGGCCCAAACUCCUACGGGAGGCAGCAGUAGGGAAUCUUCCACAAUGGACGCAAGUCUGAUGGAGCAACGCCGCGUGAGUGAAGAAGGCUUUCGGGUCGUAAAACUCUGUUGUUGGAGAAGAAUGGUCGGCAGAGUAACUGUUGUCGGCGUGACGGUAUCCAACCAGAAAGCCACGGCUAACUACGUGCCAGCAGCCGCGGUAAUACGUAGGUGGCAAGCGUUAUCCGGAUUUAUUGGGCGUAAAGCGAGCGCAGGCGGUUUUUUAAGUCUGAUGUGAAAGCCCUCGGCUUAACCGAGGAAGCGCAUCGGAAACUGGGAAACUUGAGUGCAGAAGAGGACAGUGGAACUCCAUGUGUAGCGGUGAAAUGCGUAGAUAUAUGGAAGAACACCAGUGGCGAAGGCGGCUGUCUGGUCUGUAACUGACGCUGAGGCUCGAAAGCAUGGGUAGCGAACAGGAUUAGAUACCCUGGUAGUCCAUGCCGUAAACGA
rnacentral:rRNA from 1 species